AUGUGCAUUGGAUUCUUACACAUU
rnacentral:siRNA from 1 species